rnacentral:lncRNA from 1 species
CCCGCGCGGGAGGAGAGCGGGGAUUCCGGAACUAGAGUGUGGGAGCCAGAGGCCGUAGCGGGCAGGGCUCGAGCACUGGAGUAGAGCAGUCCGACAGCUGCCGUGCUGCUCGCCGUGUACUACGGUCUCAUCUGGGUACCCACGCGGUCUCCCGCGGCACCCGCCGGCCCACAGCCCAGCGCGCCGUCCCCUCCGUGUGCUGCCCGCCCGGGCGUGCCGCCUGUCCCGGCGCCCGCCGCUGCCUCCCUCUCCUGCCUCCUGGGAGUCCCCGGCGGGCCGCGACCCCAGCUCCAGCUGCCGCUGAGCCGCCGCCGCCGCUACAGCGACCCUGACCGCCGUCCGAGCCGCCAGACACCCAGAGAGACGCCAGAGGCCGCGGAGGGGCGAAGACCCGGGUAACUCUCCCUUCCACCCCAACCCGGAUCGCCAGCCCUCGAGAGCUCUGUGCUCCACGCCGAGGAUGCACCGUCUCUGGAUUGGUCCGGCCUUCUUCCUAAUGACAUCGCUCAGCGUCUCUGGAGCCGUCAUCCCGCGGAAUGGGGGCCCAGGGGGUGUCAGCUCGGGGCCUUGCCUCUUGCAGCUACUCUGUGGUCAGGCCGGGUCCUCCACCAUCAGGAAGAUCCCAUCCUGAGCUCUGUCUCCUGCCCCUCCUGCUGUGGGAUGCUGAGCACAGAGCCCACAGCCCAUCUGCCUCUUCACCUCCCUGAAUCCGUGUCCAUCUGCAAUAAACGACAGCCUCGGCUGCCUCGUGCUGUGUCUGUCCUGUUGUCUGCA